rnacentral:tRNA from 1 species
GGCUGGGUAGCUCAGUUGGUUAGAGUGUUGUCCUGACAUGCCAAGGUUUCCAGUUCGAUCCCCAGUCA